GUCCUGUGGAGGAAUUGGUCAGCUCACCGCCCUCUCACGGCGGACGUUGCAGGUUCCAGUCCCGCCGGCGUCACCA
rnacentral:tRNA from 1 species